AAAGCAAUCAUCACUGUGCCUUCCUAAAAUAAAAUAAUAAAAAAAAAAUGUUGCAGAGCCCUGAGGGAAACACUAAUCAAAGGUUUGUUAUUUGAACAACACCCUUUCCUGAAGCAAACAAAUCAGAAAGCCAUUGGGAUGGCGCUCAUAGACCCUGUGCAAAUGACGUCACGAAACUUCCGUUCCGCCUUGUUGGGGGACAAACAAGACGCGCACUAGCUAGCUGCAGAUAUUUGCGAUAAAAUGCCGAGUUUUUGUGGUAUAAUCGGCUGUAGUAAUCGCAAGAACAGGGAAACUAAUCACAGUUUAUUCAGGUCACCGGCAAUUAUCGAGCAUCAAGGAGAAAAUACGCGAGAACUGUCUUCAAAGAGGCGAGCAAUCUGGCUAGCACAGAUAGCUAGAAGUGACCUUACAUCCGAGUCCAGUUUGGCCAAUCUACGGAUCUGUUCGGGUCAUUUCAUUAAAGCUGAAAGAACUCCUGAAGGGACACCAUUAUACUGAUGAUGCAGACCUGCAAGCAGCUGUGCGUUGCUGGUGGCAAGAGAAUACACCCGAUUUCUUCAUCCACAGGAUGCAAAAACCUGUCUGGCGGUGGCAUAAGUGUGUAGAAAGGGGAGGUGACUAUGUGGACAAGUAAUGACACUGUCUGAUAGAGAACAUUCCAAACUUGAAGCAGAUAUUUGACUGAUGUAUCGUACUUGUUAUUGAAAUAAUCCUGUGGGAGGGAUAACUUUUCUGUUAUGAGAACUGAAAAGCUUCCAAUGCUACAUGAAUAAACUGCUCCCCAAAACUCUA